AACCCAUUGAACAUAAUGAUCCAACGCCAUCUCCCAAUUUUGAAUUCCCUGUAUUCGAGGCAGAGGAAGAGGACGUUGAAGGGAUUCCUGAUGAGAUUACCCGUAUCCUUGAGCACGGAAAGAAGAUCAUUCAGCUGUAUCUUGAGAAUCAGCAGAACAAUCAAACUGGGGCAUUACAAAUGUAAUAAAAAAAAAAGGGGGUGAAAAAAUAAAAGAAA
rnacentral:lncRNA from 1 species